rnacentral:other from 1 species
CGUCUCCUGCGGUGUUCGAUUCGGGCCGGGAUCCUCUCGACCCUAAUUAACUACCCUGGGACCGGAACGUGUCGGCACCGGUGCGCAAGCCCGCUUCUGGCGGAAAGCCUUAGGUACGACUACUGGUCCCACUUAUUGCUCUGGUUCGAGAGCAAUGGUCUGUAACGGCACAGGCGGGAGGCGC